rnacentral:rRNA from 1 species
ACGGAGCGCGGGGGCACUCUGGCGGGAUGCGGCGAACGGGUGAGUAAUACAUCGGAACGUACCCCGUAGUGGGGGAUAACCGGCGAAAGCGGACUAAUACCGCAUAUGCUCUACGGAGGAAAGGGGGGGAUCCGCAAGGACCUCCUGCUAUGGGAGCGGCCGAUGUCCGAUUAGCUAGUUGGCGGGGUAAAGGCCCACCAAGGCGACGAUCGGUAGCUGGUCUGAGAGGAUGAUCAGCACACUGGGACUGAGACACGGCCCAGACUCCUACGGGAGGCAGCAGUGGGGAAUUUUAGGACAAUGGGGGCAACCCUGAUCCAGCCAUGCCGCGUGCGGGAAGAAGGCCUUCGGGUUGUAAACCGUUUUGCCUGGGAAGAAAAGGCAUCUACUUAAUACGGGGUGUUCUUGACGGUACUGGAAGAAUAAGCACCGG